UGGGGAAUAGCCAAGUUGGUAAGGCUCACGAUUUUGAUUCGUGUAUCGGAGGUUCAAGUCCUUCUUCCCUAG
rnacentral:tRNA from 1 species